CAUAGAUUUCUGAGGUCUGGAAAAACACAGAGCGCAGAGGAAGAAGCCUCAUGCAUAAGCAGCGGAGUCACUCGCUGCAUUCAGAGGAGAUCAGCUGUGCCCUAGAAGAUUGAGAGAAACACGGGGGCAAAAUUCCACAAUACCUGUUUUCUUCAAAGAAGAGCUGCUGCGUGAAGAUCAUUCCUUUGUUAAAAAGCAAGAUUCAUUUGAAUAAAUUUCAUGAUGCAUGUACUGUGUUAAAUGAUUCAGGAAUUGGGCACCAUCACUUCUAGUGAAUAGAAAA